rnacentral:rRNA from 1 species
UACAGAGGGUGUGAGCGUUGUUCGGAAUUAUUGGGCGUAAAGAGCGCGUAGGCGGUUUGCUAAGUCUGGUGUGAAAGCCCACAGCUUAACUGUGGAAGUGCAUUGGAUACUGGCAGGCUUGAGUGUGAGAGGGGAUCGUGGAAUUCCUGGUGUAGCGGUGAAAUUCGUAGAUAUCCGGAGGAACACCAGGGGCGAAGGCGGCGAUCUGGACUGAUACUGACGCUGAGGUGCGAAAGCGUGGGGAGCAAACAGG